GAUUGUAGGUGGCUUUUUAAGUCCGCCGUCAAAUUCCAGGGCUCAACCUUAGAUAGGCGGUGGAAAUUAUCAAGUUGGAGUACGGUAGGGGCAGAGGGAAUUUUCGGUGGAGCAGUGAAAUGCAUAGUGAUCGAAAAGAACACCAACGGUAAAAGCACUCUAUUGGGUCGACACUGACAUUGAAAAAC
rfam:Nicotiana sylvestris Nsyl_contig158678, whole genome shotgun sequence.